rnacentral:rRNA from 1 species
GAUGAACGCUGGCGGCGUGCCUAAUACAUGCAAGUCGAGCGAAUGGAUUAGAGCUUGCCCUUAUGAAGUUAGCGGCGGACGGGUGAGUAACCAGUGGGUAACCUGCCCAUAAGACUGGGAUAACUCCGGGAAACCGGGGCUAAUACCGGAUAACAUUUUGAAACGCAUGGUUCGAAAUUGAAAGGCCGCUUCGGCUGUCCCUUAAGGAUGGACCCGCGUCGCAUUAGGUAGUUGGUGAGGUGACGGCUCACCAAGGCAACGAUGCGUAGCCGACCGGAGAGGGUGAUCGGCCACACUGGGACUGAGACACGGCCCAGACUCCUACGGGAGGCAGCAGUAGGGAAUCUUCCGCAAUGGACGAAAGUCUGACGGAGCAACGCCGCGUGAGUGAUGAAGGCUUUCGGGUCGUAAAACUCUGUUGUUAGGGAAGAACAAGUGCUAGUUGAAUAAGCUGGCACCUUGACGGUACCUAACCAGAAAGCCACGGCUAACUACGUGCCAGCCGCCGCGGUAA